AAGACGAUGGGAAUUCUUAUCUGUCGUUGUAAAUUUCACUUGGAGGUCUGCGCUGAACUAAAGGCGAAUGAUCCUGGUGCACAUUUUGCCCUCCUCACUAAAAAGGCCGACUGGUUUUGGCGGGAUUCUAGUUGGGCCUCUUUCUCUGUGCACAUGAGGGGGAAUUGCUUGUAUUUCUAGUAAGGUUUUGCAGUCCCAUGGUCUUGUAGUAAAGCAGACCUUGGCAUGACCUUGGCCCGACCUGGUUGGUGACCGUUCAGUGCUCUUGGUAAGAGAACUUAGAUAUUUGUAAAGUUCCCAUGAUUUGUUUUGCAGAUUCACCUUAAAAUUUUUAGAUUCUCUUGAAUUAUGUUUUAUUUACUAAAUCAGCAAUUUUGCUAUUUUCUGCACCCUUGGAUUCAGGAAUGGGAAGCGUGUACCUGGGAAAUGAGCAUGUGGUAUAUCAAACCCAUUUUACCCACAGAAACCGUUAACACCAGGCAUGACGGGUCUAUGGUGUACGUGGGAUAUUAAGCCGCCAGUGUGCCUGGGAGAGCCAACCACCUCAUCUGUCUCCUGUUCUGGGAAAUGGUUGAGAGGUGAAGGUUUUAACACUGAGGCUCGUCACGGUACAGGAGACCGAGUCUGCUGCGUGGACAUCAUAGACCUUCACUGCUCUGUUGGCGCGUUUCCUGGAGUCGCGACCGGACAGCGUCGGAAUCCGUCCCUUUUCCCCGUCGAGUGGAAGGACUUUAGGCAGGAGAAUGGCUCGCCUGGCUGGAAUGUCCUUGGGCUGCAUGGCUGCGCUGGCAUACCUCUCCUGCCUACUGCUGGUACUGGCGCACAGCGCCACCCGCCCAGGGGC